rnacentral:rRNA from 1 species
AGAGUUUGAUCCUGGCUCAGAUUGAACGCUAGCGGCAUGCUUUACACAUGCAAGUCGAACGGCAGCGCGGGGCAACCUGGCGGCGAGUGGCGAACGGGUGAGUAAUACAUCGGAACGUGCCCUGUGAUGGGGGAUAACUACGCGAAAGCGUAGCUAAUACCGCAUACGACCUACGGGUGAAAGUGGGGGAUCGCAAGACCUCACGUCAUAGGAGCGGCCGAUGGCGGAUUAGCUAGUUGGUAAGGUAAAGGCUUACCAAGGCAACGAUCCGUAGCUGGUCUGAGAGGACGACCAGCCACACUGGGACUGAGACACGGCCCAUACUCCUACGGGAGGCAGCAUUGGGGAAUCUUGGACAAUGGGGGCAACCCUGAUCCAGCAAUGCCGCGUGUGGGAUGAAGGCCUUCGGGUUGUAAACCACUUUUGGCGGGGGCGAAAUAUCGAGUGCUAAUACCAUUCGGUGAUGACGGUUCCCGCAGAAUAAGCACCGGCUAACUACGUGCCAGCAGCCGCGGUAAUACGUAGGGUGCAAGCGUUAAUCGGAAUUACUGGGCGUAAAGCGUGCGCAUCGGUUAGGUAAGACAGAUGUGAAAUUCCCGGUCUCAACCUGGG